AUUGAACGCUGGCGGCAGGCCUAACACAUGCAAGUCGAACGAGUGGCGGGCGGGUGAGUAAUGUCUGGGAAACUGCCCGAUGGAGGGGGAUAACUACUGGAAACGGUAGCUAAUACCGCAUACCAUCGGAUGUGCACAGAUGGGAUUAGCUAGUAGGUGGGGUAACGGCUCAACUCGGCGCCGAUCCCUAGCUGGUUUGAGAGGAUGACUAGCCACACUGGAACUGGGACAAGUUCCAGACUACGACGGGAGGCAGCAGGUGGGAAUAUUGCAAAAUGGGAGAAAGACUGAUGCAGCCAUGCCGCGUGUAUGAAGAAGGCCUUCGGGUUGUAAAGUACUUUCAGCGAGGAGGCGUUACUCGCAGAAGAAGCCCCGGCUAAAUCCGCGCCAGCAGCCGCGGUAAUUC
rnacentral:rRNA from 1 species